rnacentral:rRNA from 1 species
UACGAAGGGGGCUAGCGUUGCUCGGAAUCACUGGGCGUAAAGCGCACGUAGGCGGCUUCUUAAGUCAGGGGUGAAAUCCUGGAGCUCAACUCCAGAACUGCCUUUGAUACUGGAGAGCUUGAGUCCGGGAGAGGUGAGUGGAACUCCGAGUGUAGAGGUGAAAUUCGUAGAUAUUCGGAAGAACACCAGUGGCGAAGGCGGCUCACUGGCCCGGUACUGACGCUGAGGUGCGAAAGCGUGGGGAGCAAACAGG